AGAUGUGAGGGCGAUCUGGCUGUGACAUCUGCCACCCCAUUGACCACCAGGGUUGAUUUGGCUGAUCUGGCUGGCCAAAUCAGAGUGUUCCUUUCCUCCCUCACUGCUCCAUAAGUGUCCCUCCUGAAUCUGCACACUCAGUUGGAGAGGACGACCACUCCCAGUAGAGGAGGACUAUUACCUCAAUCAAAGGUGUAUGAGUAGCUGCAUUCCCCUGCUAGAACAAGCUCUCAAGAAGGUGUAGCAGUCUGUCAACCCUCAGCUGGUUCUCUGAAUUCUGCCCAAGAGGGCAGAGGGUUAUUGAG
ensembl:misc_RNA 7SK 7SK RNA